rnacentral:rRNA from 1 species
AUUGAACGCUGGCGGCAGGCUUAACACAUGCAAGUCGAGCGGAGUGAUGGUGCUUGCACUAUCAUUUAGCGGCGGACGGGUGAGUAAUGCUUAGGAAUCUGCCAUCUAGGGGGGGACAACAUUCAGAAAGGAAUGCUACUAACGCAUACGUCUUACGGGAGAAAGCAGAGGAUCUUCGGACCUUGCGCUAAAUGAUGAGCCUAAGACGGAUUAGCUAGUUGGUGGGGUAAAGGCCUACCAAGGCGACGAUCUGGAGCGGGUCUGAGAGGAUGAGCCGCCACACUGGGACUGAGACACGGCCCAGACUCCUACGGGAGGCAGCAGUGGGGAAUAUUGGACAAUGGGCGGAAGCCUGAUCCAGCCAUGCCGCGUGUGUGAAGAAGGCCUUUUGGUUGUAAAGCACUUUAAGCGAGGAGGAGGCUCUCCUAGUUAAUACCUAGGAAGAGUGGACGUUACUCGCAGAAUAAGCACCGGCUAACUCUGUGCCAGCCGCCGCAGUAACAC